GUCUGUAUAAUGAUUUAGAGGCAGUCUCACAUUUAUUUAUUUAUUUGCUUAUUUAUUUUAGAGGAAGUCUUGCUUUGUCACCAGGCUGGAGUGCACUGGCCCAUUUUUGGCUUCCUGCAACCUCUGCUUCCUGGAUUCAAGCAAUUCUUCCUCCUUUGCCUCCGGAGGACCUGGGACCACGGCAUCAUUUCAGGAUGAGCAUUUCGUGUCAAGUGGAUUCAAGGAACAGUGUAAAGGAUCCAUGGCCUCAGUCACCAUGAAGACCCUCCCAAGAGCCAACGUCCUGGGCCCAUAUAAAUGAAUGGAGACAUGGAACUCACCCUUACAAGGCCUAGAACCUGACAGAGCAUGCGAGACAGAAGCCCAAAUAACUAAGAACAGGAAGCUAAAGGUGAGAGGUGGGCCCCAAAGGAUUCUGUGAAAUGCUUUGUGUUUGUGGAUUUAUCACGCAGAAUGAUAGCUUUGUUUUUAUUCACAAGUUAGACACGCUCUCUAUAUAGAAUCUAUGAAAGGACAUUUCUGAGUUUUUUGAGGCCUGUAGUGAAAAAUAGAAUAUCUCAGGCAGCUCAGGAUGAAUAAUGCAGUCACCAAGAGGGUCAGGGUUGCCACAGGUGGCCAGCAGCAGGGUUGGGCAUCUUGAGCCAUUAGAUGGGUUUGUGGGAAGUGGCAUUGUGAGCCACUGGCCUGAUGUUGUUGUUUCCUGGUAACCAGGUGACAUAGGAGGCUUUGUAACAUCA
rnacentral:lncRNA from 1 species